AGACGCUUAACCAACUGAGCCACCCAGGUGCCCCUAUUUUAAUAGGGAGGAAAUAAACACUUGAUCACUAAGAAAAAUCAUAGUAUUAAUAAGAUAACAAAGCCUUUAAAGAAAGACACGAAUACAAGUUAAAGAAGGGGAAAAAAGAAAUGAGAGAUUGAGGGUGAUGGAGGGUGGAUUGCUAAUGGAAAAGACUGGCUCCUGAUCAGCUUCAUUUUGCCUCUCAGAUGCUUAUUCACCAAUAGCAGUGAUAUCCAGCAUCUCGAAGUCGGGUAGCUGCCAACACAAAAAUGAUUUUGAGCAAAGGGGGCUGUGGGGUUCUGGAUCAAAGUGUCGAGUGUGAUCUUUUCUUGUAUUCACUCUCAGAAAGACUCAGACGAUCGGGUACUAACUGUGGGAAGUGUUUAAGAAUCCGAAAGUUCAUAAUCACAGAGGAAGAAGUGAUAUAUCACCCGGAUAAACAUACGUAACCUAUUAAGGUUAAUAUAUGUGAGGUGCACCUGUUGGAUCAUCAUGACCUGCUGUGCCCUCUCCGUGGAAAUACCGUGAAGUAAACAAGCAGUUGACAUUCUCUAGUGGGAGCAAUAAUAAGGCUUAGCUGAGCAGUCUUAUUUAAACUUUAAUGUUUUGAUAUAUUUUUUUGUGUAAGUCACCCCACAGGGGAGGCCAGAAAUUUCCUGACUAUAAGCUUUUCCUAACUGACACCAAAGGAAACCUGGGGAUCCCAGAUCAAUCAAAAUGAGGUGACAACUAUUUGAUGGUGGCCAUAUCGGUAGGCUGCACGCAUUCCGUGAGUCAGCCUCCCUCUCACUGCUAGGUUUGUUUUGUCUCUUUGUAGCAUGUGGUUUGGGCUAAGGAUAGCAGUUUCUGUGAUCAAAGCUGACUCCUUGGGAUAAAACACCCUCUGAAAAUUAAUCAGCCUAAUUUUUUAGGAGGCUCUGGCUACUUUUAGAGAAGGGCACAACACUGGAAAUUUCUAGCCUUGGCUUAUCCAGAAAAAAUGAAUUAAUCAGAAAGAGUGGGGCCACGUUGAGUGACGUUCUGUCCUGCCACCUUUCCAGACUAGACUUCUAAUACGCUUGUUGCCAUCCUAUAAUGGCUUCCUUCUUUGACAUUCUGCACCAUUCAGCUUGCUGCUAGUCCCCUUCUUGAAUUGCCAGCCAUCGUGGGAGAAAAGAUUUUUAGCUCCUGUGAUUGAAUUUACUUCAACUACUUCCCCAUCACCCUUCCUCUUGGGUACCCAGAAAUGUCUUCACUCUCUCCUUAUAGUUUCCUGCUACCAAAUCCUCCUCUUUUCUGGGAGACCUGGCUUCGACCCACACACGUGCAACAGUACAUACUCUCAGAAUGUACUUUUUACUCUACCAAACAGCACUGUAAGGCACUGGCCCACCUGCCCUUUAUGUUCAUCUCUCCAUUUCAUUUCAAAUUUUUUCUACGUGUUUGCUCUCUAGGUCUUUGACCUGUGUUCCUGAACACUAACAUCACCUUUCCACAAGCUAUUAGUGCCUGUGUGUUCGUGAGCCUGCCUUGUUUGCAUUCUCUUGGAUUCCCUCCUUGCUUCUGCCUCUUCUCUCCUGUCUUCUCAUCCAGUCACUUAUUCAAUUUGCCAAACUGAGCUCCAUCCUGUCCUAAGCACUGAGGACACAAACACGGAUAAAGAAUGGUCUCUGCCUUCGAGGAGACACAUAAACAAAAAUUUAAUAUGAUGGGAUCAGAGCUGUUUUAAUGGUACUGCAGGGGGAAAAAAAGAAAGUCCAUGCUUCAGAGUUAUCUGAGAAAAUUUACGGCAAGCCAUUUGCACAGGGCAUGAUGUAUGUACUUAACAUAUGCUGUAUAUUUUAUUUUCCCAGGUAGAUUGGCUCAUGAUCUUCAGUUGCUGCUUGUCUAUUGGCUCCUUUCUCUUGCUCUGAUCUCCACUAGCCUAAAAAUAAGGAAAACCCUUUCCUACACUGCUAUCUUUUUUCCCUUAUCAUCAGACUUCUUAAGAGGCUCUCCCCUGGCUAAUUUUUCUUCUUUGCUACCUGUUCAUUCUAAAAAUAUUUGUGAUCUUGAGUGAAGUAAGAAUCAUCCCUGAUAUGUAUGUUAUAUUUACACAGACACAAUGAAAUUCAUUUUAUAGACAAAAUCUUUGUGACUGUCUAUAUUUGUGUGUAUGUGUGUGCAAUUUUAGAGAUAUUUGGUGAGGAUGGUGGUCUGGUAUUCUGGUCUACCUGAUCUGGCAUUCGGGGGCUUUUCCUGACCUGUUUUGCCGAAGUGCUUUCAUCAAACUUUGUUCUUUUAGGAUAACUUUUAGAGAUGUCCAACUCCAGAAUCGCCAUUAGCCAGAGUCAAACCUUUGGGGAAUGACCAAAGUUUAUAUCCUAACUUCCAAGACUGUUCUAGAAAUUAGAUCUCCCUCCAUGAGCCAGAGAGUUGAGUAACAUUUGCUGCAGAGGCAUGUGGCCAGGGUCACGAUCAACAAAGAGGGUCACAGAUACGUAUGGAAGAAAGGAUGAUGAUCUCAUUCUUUUUCUUGAAGUGCAGUGUUUUUGAAAGAGGCAGCCCACGGAAUGGGAGAAGAUAUUUGCAAAUGAC